rnacentral:rRNA from 1 species
UAGAACGCUGAAGAGAGGAGCUUGCUCUUCUCGGAUGAGUUGCGAACGGGUGAGUAACGCGUAGGUAACCUGCCUGGUAGCGGGGGAUAACUAUUGGAAACGAUAGUAAUACCGCAUGAAAUGGAUUAUCGCAUGAUAAUCGAUGAAAGGUGCAAAUGCAUCACUACCAGAUGGACCUGCGUUGUAUUAGCCAGUUGGUGAGGUAACGGCUCACCAAGGCAACGAUACAUAGCCGACCUGAGAGGGUGAUCGGCCACACUGGGACUGAGACACGGCCCAGACUCCUACGGGAGGCAGCAGUAGGGAAUCUUCGGCAAUGGACGGAAGUCUGACCGAGCAACGCCGCGUGAGUGAAGAAGGUUUUCGGAUCGUAAAGCUCUGUUGUAAGAGAAGAACGAGUGUGAGAGUGGAAAGUUCACACUGUGACG